UUCUAAAUGAUUCAGAGGCAUGCUGUGAGAUAACUACUGAUAACAAGCAGAUGUGAAGUUUGCUUUUCAAGACAAGGAGGCAGAGGGGGAAAGUCAAGUUGAUUUUUGGCUUAUGGUCUUCUCAGAAAGCCUGAUAUUUGAAGAUCAUUGAAGCUUGGAACUCAGUCUUACCUAAUGAAGAUCUGAUUCACCUGUAUUUUCCUAAGCUGCAUCCUCUGGUGAAGCUUUCAGCCCCGACCCCCAGGCUGUGGUGAGCCCUGCUAAGUAUCCACGGCAGCUGUCAGAGUCACCAGUGGUAUUUAUGGAAGCACUGCCUUGGCAUGGAAGCACUAACGGCUAAAGAAAGAUUUGGUCCAGAAAGAGAGAAGCUGAUUGCAAGCCUUCUUUGCUUUUCAAGUCCUUCUGGAUAUUCCAGAAGAUAAUCUCAAAACACGUAACCAGAGCUACUGGACAAGGCCUCUACAGUUUUUUUCAAAAAGAAAUAUCUUAAAUAGUUCAGGUGCUGUUCAGUUUUCAGUUUUACCAGUUUAGAUCUGGAGUUAGAACAUUUGAGUGAUUCUGGAUUUGCAUCGAUGUGGAAGAGUUAAGAAUUUGGUUCAGAAGGAACAGUUUGCACAAAAAGGCAGCAAAUUCUAUGGAAAACCUGUGAUUAUGGCUUAGCUUGGUGUAUUUCUGCUGUAGAGUGGCCAGAUCUUUUAAAAUCUACCUGCUGAGGGUCUGUUUUUGUUCCUCUGCUAUUUGGCGAGGACAGUGGGACAGUCUGUAUUUCAAGGUCAAAGGUGUAAAUAAAGAAAAAUGCACUUAAAAUUUGUCUAACAAAUGUGGCAGGAUUCUGUAGAUCUAGUCAAUGCAGCAUAUUUUAGGGCUG